GGGUGAGAGGGACCUCUCCUUCUUCAGCCUUGGAUAGUAAGAGAUCUGCCCCAGGUUGUAAGAAGCUGGCAGGACCCCAGCCUUGCCUCUGCUGAGACCACCUGACAAGGAGCAGGAGAGACCGUGUGGCCAGCAGAGUCUCCGGAGAGGGGAGCUGCCGCCUCUUUCUGCAGAGCAAUUUCAGAGUCCUGUCACAUCCUCUCCCCAGCCAUGCUGCAGCCUGAAACUUCUUUACCCAAGAGCAAAAGGGGCAACACCGACUAGGGGCAUCAGCAAUAACCAGGCUGUGUGGACGUGCGAUCUGUGGACCGGGCUUCAGAGAGGGCGGAUGAAGAGGAGCCCGCAGACUUUUGCUGUGGAUUUACCACGUGCGGAACGUGGUCCCAGACCUGGGAACAGAGACUUGCUACAGAGUUUCACCAGAGCCCAAGGGAGGGUCCGAUUUUCAGAAGUCAUGUCAAUUUUGCUUAACGUGCAGAACCUUGGGUUCAAAGCUGUUCACUGUGGGGGUAAUUAAAGGACACUAUCUUUUUCUAGAA